AAAUUGAAGAGUUUGAUCAUGGCUCAGAUUGAACGCUGGCGGCAGGCCUAACACAUGCAAGUCGAACGGUAACAGGAAACAGCUUGCUGUUUCGCUGACGAGUGGCGGACGGGUGAGUAAUGUCUGGGAAACUGCCUGAUGGAGGGGGAUAACUACUGGAAACGGUAGCUAAUACCGCAUAACGUCGCAAGACCAAAGAGGGGGACCUUCGGGCCUCUUGCCAUCGGAUGUGCCCAGAUGGGAUUAGCUAGUAGGUGG
rnacentral:rRNA from 1 species